rnacentral:rRNA from 1 species
AACGUAGGAGACAAACGUUAUCCGGAGUUACUGGGCGUAAAGGGCGUGUAGGUGGUAGUGUAAGUCUGGCGAUGAAAUUUUUCGGCUUAACCGGGAAAGGUCGUCGGAUACUGCACACUAGAGGACGGUAGAGGCGUGUGGAAUUCCGGGUGAGUGGUGAAUGCGUAGAGAUCCGGAGGACACACGUGGCGAAGGCGACACGCUGGGCCGUCACCUGACACUGAGGCGCGAUAGCAUGGGGAGCAAACAGGG